AUGAUAACCGACUUGCAAGCUGCUUGUUUUACAAGACAACUAAUUGAGUUCGCAGAAUCGAACCGGGAUAUGAAACAAGGCUGGUUAAAUUUACAGAGCAACAGGGAAACUAACAGAACCGCAUCGCUUAUAAUGAAUUACCACUUGUUGGAUCACCUCCCAUGUCAUGCUUCACGACGGCCUCUUGGUCUUGGUUUUAGUGCAUCCUCUCAACCGCUUGUUCUGGCACAAGUUUCAGGGCUUAUUCUGAGCCCCUCCAAGCUUCUAAAACUCCUCAAAUUCAGCUUCCAAACGCAGCUUCUAACUCCAAGUGGCGAUUUCAGCAACGUUCGGCACCGAAGUAGCUUCUCCCAGCUUGGCAGCCCAGCUGGGGAGGCUGCUAGCCGGCUGGGCGCUAGUAUGGACCGGCUGGAAGCAGCUAGCCCAGUUCGUCCUAGUGUUUAUGGCGUCGGAGAGAGGGCUCAGAGGUUGAGGCGGGAUCCGUCGAGGUGA
rnacentral:rRNA from 1 species